GCUUACGGCCACACCGCCUGGUUCACGGCCCGAUCUCGGAAGCUAAGAUAGGUUGGGCCUGGUUAGUACUUGGAUGGGAGACCGCCUGGGAAUACCAGGUGCUGUAAGCU
rnacentral:rRNA from 1 species